GGCGUGUGGUCUCUAGACAACUGAGGGAAAGUAGACAGACCGUGCUCACCGAUUUAAAAGAACAGCCCUGAAAUGACCCCCGUUACACCCUGUUCUCUUUUUUAGACAAGUUACUUCCACCUGGAGCGGUUUCUGGGCCCGGGUAUGGGGAUUUCUUCACCCGGCCCCCUAGGCUUUCACCUCGGUGGAAUUUCCCGCGCCCCCGCUGGGAUGAUUUAGGGACUGUUGGCUAGAACUGCCCUUGCCUACCGCCCUACUGCGGGCGCUCCCCUGUCUGGGGGGUGCUUGGCUGGGUGUGGAGAAGGAUCAAUCACAGCUGACUCCUCAGAGGUGACAGCCCCUGCCCCCUUAAAAACAAGAAAAGACCUAGCAGUGUGAAGCCAAACUGCACCCCCAGCCCCGGUGACAUGAGGAAACCGUGAGGCGCUCAGCCUGAGGUUCAUCGUUCAUCUCCUUCCUGCUUGGAAUCAGAAUGUCCUCACUGCUGAGUUUCUCCGUUUUAUGGGAUUACAUUAGUGGACAAAGGAGGAAGUCCCAGCCGGGAACACAGAAAGGAUAUGGAGAAAAUUAUUAUUCUGCCCCUACAGUUUCGGUGACCCAGAUGGGAUCUCUGGGACACCCUGCCUGCUCUACAAUUGGGAUCCCUGGAAAAGUGACAGAAUCUGGCAACAGCGUGACUAUCCGCCUGCUGAGGCGCCCAGAUUAUCCAGGCUGCCUGUGAAGGCAACCAACUG
rnacentral:lncRNA from 1 species